rnacentral:rRNA from 1 species
CAUUACCGGGCGCUAUAAUGCAGUCGAGCGAGAAGACGUAGCAAUACGUUUGUAAAGCGGCGAACGGGUGAGGAAUACAUGGGUAACCUACCCUCGAGUGGGGAAUAACUAGCCGAAAGGUUAGCUAAUACCGCAUACGACUCUCGGUCUGCGGAUCGGGAGAGAAAGCGAUACCGUGGGUAUCGCGCUCUUGGAUGGGCUCAUGUCCUAUCAGCUUGUUGGUGAGGUAACGGCUCACCAAGGCUUCGACGGGUAGCUGGUCUGAGAGGACGAUCAGCCACACUGGCACUGCGACACGGGCCAGACUCCUACGGGAGGCAGCAGUAAGGAAUAUUGCGCAAUGGGCGACAGCCUGACGCAGCGACGCCGCGUGGGGGAUGAAGGUCUUCGGAUUGUAAACCCCUUUCGGCAGGGAAGAUGGAACGGGUAACCGUUCGGACGGUACCUGCAGAAGCAGCCACGGCUAACUUCGUGCCAGCAGCCGCGGUAAUACGAAGGUGGCAAGCGUUGUUCGGAUUUACUGGGCGUACAGGGAGCGUAGGCGGUUGGGUAAGCCCUCCGUGAAAUCUCCGGGCCUAACCCGGAAAGGGCGGAGGGGACUGCUCGGCUAGAGGAUGGGAGAGGAGCGCGGAAUUCCCGGUGUAGCGGUGAAAUGCGUAGAGAUCGGGAGGAAGGCCGGUGGCGAAGGCGGCGCUCUGGAACAUUUCUGACGCUGAGGCUCGAAAGCGUGGGGAGCAAACAGGAUUAGACACCCUGGUAGUCCACGCCUUAAACGAUGGAUACUAAGUGUCGGCGGGUUACCGCCGGUGCCGCAGCUAACGCAUUAAGUAUCCCGCCUGGGAAGUACGGCCGCAAGGUUGAAACUCAAAGGAAUUGACGG